GUCUGUAGCCCUGAUAUGGUCUGUACCCCUGAACAGCCAGCUCCGGCCGACAGUCCGCACUCGACUUCGCCGCCUCAGACUGUAUGGGUUGUAGCUGCUGCGGUUAUGGGCCAAUCACACUGUGCAAGAUAGAAGAUCAGCUUGCUGUGAUUGGUGUGUGUUCCCCACUAUAGACUCCACCCCCCUCCCCACACUCUUACUGUUUUGAUGUGUGCCAGGGCACAGUCGCACAGGAAGUCCUGACAGAUAGGGUGUGUGAUGCCUUUAGAUUGACACAACAUGUUCAUACUCAUGUUCGUUGUACUUGUACAAUGACAAUAAAGCUUUCUAUUCUAUUCUACUCCUGAUGUUUGCGGCAGAAGCUAACAACUUGAGAAGAACACAAUGAUAGUCUGGGAGAUGUUCCUUAUUCCAUUCUCCAUGGCAGUGACAGCCAUGUCAUCGAUUUGUACACCCCAGUUUCUGGAUGAACCCCCAGGCCAGAUUAAGGUUCUUCGUGGUUCCUCCCUGACUCUGAACUGCAGCGGUACAUCAUGUCAGGGAGAAACCAAGAGUAACAGAGUAAAGGUGAACUGGCGCUUCUCCGCCAAUGAUUCAGAAAGAUCCAACGAAGGGAGAACCUUUACAUGCAACAAUGGACCCUCUGAGGAAAAGAUGUGGUGCAAUUACACAAUAAUAAAUGUCCAAGACAAGGACAGUGGAUGGUACUAUUGUGAAGUCACAUUAGACCGACCUAUAUUAAUGCAAAUCUAUUCCAAUGGAACACUCAUUGUUGUCGGUAAGUGGUAACUUAAAAGUACAUAUACAAUGCAAUUAAUAAAUUAUAUGCAAGUGUCUGCAAUAUCUUUAAUUUUGUCCAAACAAGAAGUAUGACAUUAUAAUUCCCCCUAAAUAACAACAGGGAACGAGAUUGAAGUGACUGCAAACCCAGGUGAAGUGAGGGACUGCAAACGUGUGUGUGUGUGUGUGUGUGUGUGUGUGUGUGUGUGUGUGUGUGUGUGUCUGUGUCUGUGUGUGUCUGUGUCUGUGUGUGUCUGUGUGUUCGUGUGUGUGCGGGGUUGUGUGUACCUGCGUAACUUUCGGCAUGGUUUGUAUGGAACUCAAUGGAAUUACACAUUCAGGUUAUUUUGUUUGCACUGACGAUACUCAAAAUUCUAAAAAGAUAUUCACAGUUUUAUUUAUGAAAUGAAUUCCCAAACACGAAUAUAUUGUGAAUAUAUAGAUAUAGAUAUAUCGUUGACCUAUUUAUUAUCUGCUCCACAGGAACUAAAACCCCAGGUUUUAUAGAUGUGAUCGGGAACAAGACGUUCCUCAUCGUCUCUGGAGUGUCCGCGCUCCUCCUCAUCGUGCUGGUGGUGAUGAUCUGUGUUGUUCAGAGAAGAAGGCGAAGGCACAAAGUGAUGACCUGCCCAAUUUAUGGCAACACCCGUCCACCACCGGCGACCAGCAGGCAGCAAACCAGCAAACCAGACCCUCUGGUGGCCAGCGGAGUCCCCCCAAAGGCCUAAACACCCGUGUUGAGAUGUCUCUUAGCAAGACACCUCACCCUAACUACUUCCGACGAGUUGGCUGUCACCUUGUACGGUUGCAUGACAUCGAUUUGAAUGUAUGAAUGAAUGGUUGAAAAAAAGAAUAUAUAUAUAUAUAUAUAUAUAUAUAUAUAUAUAUAUAUAUAUAUAUAUAGCAUUAUUCUCUAACCUCGUGGACAUAGUGUAUUUAAUAGCUUAUAUGUGUUUAUAAAGGACCAAAUGUUGGUAUAGUGUUUAUUUAACAUUUAAUGUUUAUUUCGCAUUUACAAUAUCUGAUUAAUAUUUUUGGUGCAAUAUUUCUCCCUUACUCAAUUUGGCUGUAGUUGAAAUAGGCCUUGGAUAAUUGUUAUGUGGUGUUCGGAUUUCUUUUUUUUGCGCAUGUAUUUGGAUAAACCUUCAAACAGAGCUUAGGAAUGUAUCAUUUGCAUUGAUUUACUCUUUUCAGUGUCUCACUGUGUGCUAGAUAUAAUUAAAUGUCAACUACUUUGGAAAAAAUGUGUAAAAGUCCAUUACAGACAUGAUCAGAUGAUAACUGAGAGUCUGUAGCCCUGAGCAGGUCUGUACCCCUGAAGGUCUACCCCUGAAAGUCUGUACCCCUGAGAAGUAGUAUGUGCCCCUGAGAAGGUCUUUACCGCUGAGGGUCUGACUGUAGCCCUGCGCAGGUCUGUAGGCCUACUACACAGUACCUUAGGGCUGGGUACCGAUACCAAUAGAGUGCUUCAUUCUAUACUUAAUUCUUUCUACUACAUUCGAUACCCAUUAGGUGAGGGAAGGAAUCAGUUGCUUUGGGUGACACGCGUGGCGUCUCGGCACCCUGAACAGCCAGCUCCGGCCGACACUCCGCGCUCGACUUCGACGCCACAGAUUGUAUGGGUUGUGGCUGCUGCGGUUAUGGGCCAAUCACACUGCGCAAGAUAGAACAUCACCUUGCGGUGAUUGGCUGCGAGAAAAAUCAUACAAAUACAAAUUUAAAAAGCAUUGAAUGCAUUUUGUCCAGCCUUCGCGGUAUCGUAAUUUGUGGUCUUUGAAACCGUGUAACGUUUUUAAGGUCUAAUGUCUAUCUUCGAUCCAAAGACUGAGACUAAUCCAGGUAAGAUGAUCAGAAUAAAUAUCGAGGAUAUCCCGUUCACUGAGGCAGUCAGGAAAUUACUGGCGGAGAACUUGCAGGAGCAGGCGGAAGAGAGGGCACAGAAGGAGAAGGAACAGCAGGAAGGAAGAGAAGGGACAGCAGGAAAAUAAGGGACAGCAGGAGAAGAAAGGCACAGGAGAAGAAGGAGCAGAGAAGGCAGCUGGAGAAGACAAUGUGAACAAUGUGAUUUUAAAUGCCACCCUGGCCUACAUUAAAGUUGAACUUGAUGACA